GCUGGGCUUGCUCAAGUUGGCCUUCUUCAAGGAACUCUGGCUUAAGGCUGAGUUAGAUUGACAUUUUCCCACUCUUUCUUCUCGGGCUGCUUUUAAGUUCCUUUUUCUUAGAUCUGUUUUCCUUUUCACCUGCUUCCUUUCAGAAGAGUCAAGUUCCAAAGUGAUGACAGUGUAGCCACACAGCAAAGGAGACCAUGGGUGACUAUUUCAGUUUGCCUGGCCAGCAGCCAUUUUGCCCAUCCCUGCAGUGCCUGAAGAGGAGUUUCUGACUUCAGUGAGCUUUCAGGUCUUUAAGUACCAAGUGUCUUGACAUGCCCUCAGACAUUCCAGGGCCACUUGGCAGGAAGAGGAGUGUCUCAGGGGAAGCGCAUGGAGAGAAAGCAAACACUGCUAAUUGCAGUUGAAAUGUCGACUCCCACUCUGUCCCCGCCACCCUUACUACCUCAGAGAGUAAUUUUUAUUUAUUUUUCUCUGCAAUGUAAUUCACAUUAAACACUCUGAACAUGU